GGACGUAUGAGCACCGCUUCCCUCUCAGCUGUCCUGGUGUACUUUUUGACAGCAAGCAAUUUACUGGUUUGGUUUCUGUCUCCAUCCAAACGUUCAUAUUGGUCAAGGUCUCCUUUCCUUUCUCGUUCUGCUCUUUCUGAUUCUGGACACAUAUCAGGACAUGAACCAAUUAUGACACCAGAAGACUCCGACCCUUGAUAAUCAGAUAG
rnacentral:misc_RNA from 1 species